AUAUAUAUAGAGAGAUAUGUUCAAGUCUGAAACAUUACUCAAUAACAUUUUUCUUCAUUUCCAAUUAAACACUUGUUUCUUCAACUCUUGAGCUUCUCAAUUCUAUUAUUACAUAAUGGCUACUCUUGCAAGUUCAAUGUCAUCGUUAAGGGGUUCAAAGAUCAGAAAAUGGCAAGGAUGCUCAAAGCAAGUUAGGCAGCAGAGAGCAAGACUUUACAUUAUUUGGAGAUGUACAGUCCUGCUUCUCUGCUGGCACGACUAACCGUUGUUAUAGGUUCAAUUUCCAGUAGUGUACUUAAGUUUUCAGAUGAAUGAGACGAAGGAUGGGUCGAUUUUGUAUUGUUUUUUGAACGGUUGUCAUAUAGCCCUGAUUUUUGUGUAGGAGCAUAGUUAAAUUACAUGUGAAUGUAAAAAUAUAUACAAAGAGCCUAAGUGAAUAAAACUCGAGGACACUUUUCUUAUUAGUAAUUGACAAGGAGCUUUGUGUUUUUCAUCUAUAUGUAUAUUUUCAGUUUUAUGAUCUGAAACCAAACCAUAAAUUAUGGAUCCCAAUGCUUCUCUUUCUUCGUUUUGCAAUUUGAUUUAAGAAAAUUAAUAUCAGUAAGGGGUUCUACAACUAAAUCUAAUUAGAGACACUAAUCUAAGGGUAAUUAAGGUUUAGUAGGAGUCUAGGAGAUAUGGAGACCUAAUUUGCAAAUACUUCAUUUGCAUAAAUGACUAAUUAUUUAAAGUUGGGAGAAGGCAUAGAAACACAGGUACAACUGCAAACUCUUUCUCGUCCUUCUUUUCACUAUUUCGAUAAAAUUACAACUGCAAACAAAGAACUAAGCUCGAGCACACAAAAGGAUAAUGAAGAGAGACAAUUUGAUCAAGCGAUUCCCAGAAGGAAAAUAAUUAAAAGAAGAGAUGGGAGAUCAUAGAGUUCGGAGCCUAAAGGGCAAAUUUUUUCAGUCAAAAUUUCAAAAAGACACAUCAAAAUGGAAAACUUCCAAAACGGACAAGGUAAGUGUUAGUCCACUUUAGUCCACAUCAUAAGUGUAAGGUAAGAUGGUAAGUUUUCUUUAUAAGGUAAAUAGAGUUUCUUACCUUAUCUAUUAUCUAUUUGCCAGGCUUCGGGAAAGUGCAAGGUAUUACAAGGUAAGUGGAAUUGUUAACCUUGUAAGGUAAGAUCUCAUGUUCACCUUGUAAGGUAAGAUUUCAUGUUUACCUUGUAAUAACUUCGAAAUUCUCGGUUUUAUAUAAAGAGUGUGAGUGUAGGUUUAUUGUUGAAUUUCAUAACUCAAAAUAUUUGUUGAACCUUAUUCAUUUGUUACUUUAAAAUGGAUAAGGUAAAAGUAAAUUUACAUUGAGAUGGUGAAGUUUUGCAUGAUGGGGAUUCAGUGCGAUAUAGUCGGCAUCCAAUCAUUUCCUUUAUCUCUCAAAUAUGAUCGUUUGAAAAGGUUGUUUAGGAGUAAAAUGGGCAUUACUAAUUCGGAAGAUGACAUGGUUAUUUCUGGAUGAUAUCCGAAUUAUUUUACGUCCAACGGAUAACCAAUAUUUGGUGAAACUCCUAUUUGAAAUGAUGAUUCUUUAUCUUUAUUUCUUCGCACCGUUGAAAUCUUUGGUAAUCGCUUUAAUCUACAGACGUUUGACAUGUAUGCAUGUGUGGAACAUUCCCCUGUUGUUGAAGAACCCACGGAUAAUAAAUUUGAUCUUCGAGUAAGUCAAAAUUCUUUAAAUUUGAAUAUUGAUUCUUCAAGAAUGGUAAUGGAACAAUAAUUUGAUGGUGGGUUUGAAACACAUUAUCAAAAUUCACCCGGACUUGUGAAUAAUUUGGAUAUGGGAGGACCUAGCAAUACGUCUAUGAAUUUGGAAAAUUCUAAUUCAAGUGGUCCACAAUAGCCUUUUUCGGUGGAGGCAAUUGAUAAAUAAUAAAUAACUAAUUUUAUUUAAUUAAGUAGUUCUUUUUGUAAUUAAUGAGAUGAUUUAUUCAUUUUGCAGAUUUAAUGAUUGUAGAUUUACACUCACUCAACUCACAGAAAUUGUGAACAACAACGACGACAUACAAGGGGAGUUGGAUAGUGAUGAACCUUGACAAUAUGAAUCGUCAGAUGAUGAUCAAUCUUCUGAUGAUGAAGAUGAUAAUAAUGAUGAAAAUGUUAAUGGAGAGUCUACACUCGUUGGUGUCUAUACUGGCAAUCAUUCUUUCAUAGCAGUUUCAUAUUUGGAUCAUACUGAAGAAAGUCCAGAAGAAUUAAGGUGCAUGGUCAAUGAAGAUUAUUUUCGGACUCCACUUUGAAAUUAAAAUAAUCCUGGACAUAUUAAGUCAG
rnacentral:lncRNA from 1 species